AAUGAAGGCUCGAUAAUCAGCUCACGACAUAUAGGUGUGUCGUGUGUGUACAGAGUUAUAAAGGUUGGUAUAAAAUCCUUGUUAAAUCGGAGAAUUAAUUCGGGUUACGCCAGAGGUGGCGAUAUAUGCUCCAAGUGGAAGCGAUUCGCCAUUAAAUAAAAGAAGAAGAAGAAGAAUUACGCCAUCUGGUGUCACAAACAAACGUGUGCCUGCAUUAGCUUUGUUACGGCAAUGGAUUGUGGGAGAUUCUCAUAACAUGUGAGGAUCUCUCGAGGGUAUUUGUGCAGGCCCUGAGUGGUUGAGAGCAGUGUCUGGAACAGGACAAGCAUGUAGAUGGUACUGCAUUUGCAAAACUUGCUUUCCAGCCCCUUUGCCAGAGGGGCUGAAAGGCUCCCUAAAGUCUUGAUCAAAGCAGGGAGGUUUUUGACAUGCCCAGCGAACAAGUUAUUUGUCCCCUACCUCUAGCUGUUUCUGAAAUGUUUGCAAUCUCUAAUGGUGGAGAAGAAAGAGUAGAGACACUCCAGGAGAUCAACGCAGGAAAGUAAUCACCAACUGUGAGUGAUCUGUUGCCGAGGGGACACUACACCGGAGUUACAUAAGCAGAGGUAAAGUACUAUUUUUGGGGGGAACUCCCCCAGGAAGAUUUUUUUUAAAUAUUGAAGUUAAAA